GGUUCGAUGGCGUAGUUGGUUAUCGCAUCUGUCUAACAUGAUCUUUAAAGGUCCUUACGCAUGCUACACAGAAGGUCCCCAGUUCGAGCCUGGGUCGAAUCA